rnacentral:rRNA from 1 species
UCUUGGUCAUUUAGAGGAAGUAAAAGUCGUAACAAGGUUUCCGUAGGUGAACCUGCGGAAGGAUCAUUACAUUCAGUAGCCUAGCUACUUGUUUAUACCCUUGUUUUUAGCGUACUAUUGUUUCCUCGGUGGGCUUGCCUGCCGGUUGGACAAAACUAUAACCUUUUUAAAUCUUCAAUCAGCGUCUGAAUUAUACAUAAUAAUUACAACUUUCAACAACGGAUCUCUUGGUUCUGGCAUCGAUGAAGAACGCAGCGAAAUGCGAUAAGUAGUGUGAAUUGCAGAAUUCAGUGAAUCAUCGAAUCUUUGAACGCACAUUGCGCCCCUUGGUAUUCCAUGGGGCAUGCCUGUUCGAGCGUCAUUUGUACCCUCAAGCUUUGCUUGGUGUUGGGUGUUUUGUCUUUUUAUCAAGACUCGCCUUAAAGUAAUUGGCAGCCAGUGUUUUGGUAGUAAGCGCAGCACAUUUUGCGUCUUAGUUCUUUAACAACGGCAUCCAUAAAGCCUCUUUCUCACUUUUGACCUCGGAUCAGGUAGGGAUACCCGCUGAACUUAAGCAUAUCAAUAAGCGGAGGAA